AACGAACGCUGGCGGCAGGCCUAACACAUGCAAGUCGAACGCUGUAGCAAUACAGAGUGGCAGACGGGUGAGUAACACGUGGGAAUCUUCCUAUCGGUACGGAAUAGCUCAGGGAAACCUGGGGUACUACCGCAUACGCCCUUCGGGGGAAAGAGUCAUGGCCGAUAGGCUAGCACUCGUCUGAUUAGCUAGUUGGUGAGGUAAUGGCUCACCAAGGCGACGAUCGUGAGCUGGUCUGAGAGGAUGACCAGCCACAGGGGGACGGAGACACGGCCCAGAUUCCUACGGGAGGCAGCAGUGGGGAAUAUUGGAAAAUGGGCGCAAUCCUGAUCCAGCCAUGCCGCGUGAGUGACGAAGGUCUUCGGAUUGUAAAGCUCUUUUGGCGGGGACGAUAAUGACGGUACCCGCAGAAUAAGCCCCGGCUAACUUCGUGCCAGCAGCCGCGGUAAUAC
rnacentral:rRNA from 1 species